rnacentral:rRNA from 1 species
GACGAACGCUGGCGGCGUGCUUAACACAUGCAAGUCGAACGGAAAGGCCCUGCUUUUGUGGGGUGCUCGAGUGGCGAACGGGUGAGUAACACUUGAGUAACCUGCCCUUGACUUUGGGAUAACUUCAGGAAACUGGGGCUAAUACCGGAUAGGAGCUCCUGCUGCAUGGUGGGGGUUGGAAAGUUUCGGCGGUUGGGGAUGGACUGGCGGCUUAUCAGCUUGUUGGUGGGGUAGUGGCUUACCAAGGCUUUGACGGGUAGCCGGCCUGAGAGGGUGACCGGACAAAUUGGGUCUGAGAUAAGGCCCAGACUCAUACGGGAGGCAGCAGUGGGGAAGAUUGCACAAUGGGAGGAAGCAUGAUGCAGCAACGCCGCGUGCGGGAUGACGGCCUUCGGGUUGUAAACCGAUAUCGCCUGUGACGAAGCGUGAGUGACGGUAAUGGGUAAAGAAGCACCGGCUAACUACGUG